AUUGAACGCUGGCGGCAGGCCUAACACAUGCAAGUCGAACGAGUGGCGGACGGGUGAGUAAUGUCUGGGAAACUGACUGAUGGAGGGGGAUAACUACUGGCAACGGUAGCUAAUACCGCCUACCAUCGGAUGUGCCACGAUGGGAUUGGCUAGUAGGUGGGGUAACGGCUCACCUGGGCGACGAUCCCUAACUGGUCUGAGAGGAUGACCAGCCACACUGGAACUGAGACACGGUCCAUACUCCGACGGGAGGCAGCAGUGGGGAAUAUUGCACAAUGGGCGCAAGCCUGAUGCAGCCAUGCCGCGUGUAUGAAGAAGGCCUUCGGGUUGUAAAGUACUUGCAGCGGGGAGGCGUUACCCGCAGAAGAAGCACCGGCUAACUCCGUGCCAGCAGCCGCGGUAAUUC
rnacentral:rRNA from 1 species